UUGAAAGAAAGACAAAGAACCAACCAACAACUAGGAUUUCGUGUGUGUGUUGUUGUUCCUUUUGUUUCCUUUGCUUAUUUCAUGCUUUCUCUCGCUUCUUUCGUUACAUUAUAAAUAAGCAAAGU
rnacentral:ribozyme from 1 species